rnacentral:SRP_RNA from 1 species
GACGCGGUCAGCGCGACUUGUAGUCCGGCACCCCGUCAGGUCCGGGAGGAAGCAGCGGACCGGAUAAAGAGUGUGCGCUGGCCGCAUCGAC